rnacentral:rRNA from 1 species
AUUGAACGCUGGCGGCAUGCCUUACACAUGCAAGUCGAACGGCAGCACGGGAGCAAUCCUGGUGGCGAGUGGCGAACGGGUGAGUAAUAUAUCGGAACGUGCCCAGUCGUGGGGGAUAACGUAGCGAAAGCUACGCUAAUACCGCAUACGAUCUAUGGAUGAAAGCGGGGGAUCGCAAGACCUCGCGCGAUUGGAGCGGCCGAUAUCAGAUUAGGUAGUUGGUGAGGUAAAGGCUCACCAAGCCGACGAUCUGUAGCUGGUCUGAGAGGACGACCAGCCACACUGGGACUGAGACACGGCCCAGACUCCUACGGGAGGCAGCAGUGGGGAAUUUUGGACAAUGGGCGCAAGCCUGAUCCAGCAAUGCCACGUGCAGGAUGAAGGCCUUCGGGUUGUAAACUGCUUUUGUACGGAACGAAACGGUGAGCUCUAAUACAGUUUGCUAAUAACGGUACCGUAAGAAUAAGCACCGGCUAACUACGUG